rnacentral:rRNA from 1 species
GAUGAACGCUGGCGGCGUGCUUAAUACAUGCAAGUCGAACGGACAAAGUCAGAUAGCUUGCUAUCUGAUCGAGUUAGUGGCGAACGGGUGAGUAAUACGUAGGCAACCUACCCUAAAGUGGGGGAUAGCAGUUGGAAACGACUAUUAAUACCGCAUAGGUAAUGAGGAGGCAUCUCCUUAUUAUUAAAGGUGCGUUUGCACCGCUGUGGGAUGGGCUUACGCUGUAUUAGCUUGUUGGUGAGGUAACGGCCCACCAAGGCGAUGAUACAUAGCCGGUCUGAGAGGAUGAACGGCCACAUUGGGACUGAGACACGGCCCAGACUCC